UUUUAUACGAACUCUACACUCGAACAUUAGGUACCCGGCCCAUACCGUGGUUAUUUAUGCGCUCUCCUUAAUGGCCCGUGUAAUUCGCGCAUUUCCAUUCGGAACAAUCAGCAGAGAAACCACCUUAAGGCGUAGAAAGUAGUACGGAAAUAUUGGCAUCUCCGGCGGCGUGUUUUAGGAAUAUGUCACGAGAGUAGUGAUUAAGAUACGCGUUAGUAUCCGAAGGAAAAAAAUAUAAAGAGUCAAAGCGAGGGUUCGUCCCCAAUCGCACUCCCAACUUACAUAUAUAUUAUCGUUAACACAAGCACUGCUCUGUUUAUAAUAUUAAUUCAACAAAACAACGUUUUGAGGAUCAUAUAAUAAAUUAAAACGAGAGAUUAUUGUGCGGAGUAGACAUAGCCACGGUGGCGAGACGAACAUUUUUCAAGUUCUAAUUUAUUGCCUGACCUCCCCCAAUAUCCUUUUCACAUAUUUCUCGGGGUUGGGCGAUUGCGUUUUUAGAGAAAAUCGCCGUUCAC